GGCCGGUUAGCUCAGUUGGUUAGAGCGUCGUGCUAAUAACGCGAACGUCAUGGGUUCGACCCCCCAUACUGGCCA